UGCAGCCCGCCCGGCCGGGCCGUGGGAAGAGGAACUGCGGGCCGAGCACUGCCGGGUUGGGCUGCCCGCCGGGAGGGCACCGCGUCAUUGCACCCCCGCCUGCUUUGCACCUCCAUUGCACCCCCGCCUGCUUCGCACACCCAUUGCACCCCCGCCUGCUUUGCACCUCCAUUGCACCCCCGCCUGCUUCGCACACCCAUUGCACCCUCGCCUGCUUUGCACCUCCAUUGCACCCCCGCCUGCUUUGCACACCCAUUGCACCCCCGCCUGCUUUGCACACCCAUUGCACCCUCGCCUGCUUUGCACCUCCAUUGCAUCCCCCCCUGCUUUGCACACCCAUUGCACCCCCGCCUGCUUUGCACCCCCAUUACACCUCCCCGACCAGGAUCCUAAACCCACUGCAUCUCUAACCCUGGGGAUGCCUCCCUCACUGCCCAGGAUGCAGCUUGCCCAGCCCUGGCCCUGAUGCCAUGUCCACCAUGGUUCUGCUCAGCAGCUUCUUGCACCUGCAGGGCAGGCGCUGCGGGCCCUUUGCAGCCCUGGGGCUGGGCAGGGCCCCCCACCGCAGGCUCCGGGCGUGCGGGGCUGGCUGCAGGCCCCUGCGGGUGCUGGUGGACAUGGACGGGGUGCUCGCCGACUUCGAAGGAGGAUUCCUAAAGAAGUUCAGGGCCAGGUACCCAGACACCCCCUACAUUACCCUGGAGGACCGCAGGGGCUUCUGGGUGUCGGAACAGUAUGGGCGCCUGAGACCUGAGCUGAGUGAGAAAGCAAUAAGCAUAUGGGAGUCAAAGAAUUUCUUCAUCGAGCUGGAUCCGCUCCCAGGCGCUGUGGAAGCUGUGAAGCAGAUGGCCAAUAUGGAGAACACUGAUGUGUUCAUCUGUACAAGUCCAAUCAAGAUGUACCGUUAUUGCCCUUACGAGAAGUAUGCAUGGGUGGAGAAGCAUUUUGGCCAAGAAUUUCUGGAGCAGAUUGUUCUCACCCGUGAUAAAACCGUGGUCUCUGCUGACCUCCUCAUAGAUGACAGACCGGAUAUAACAGGUGCCGAGCCGAACCCCAGCUGGGAGCACAUCCUCUUCACAGCUUGUCACAACAAGCACCUGCGGCUGAAACCCCCCAGCAGGAGGCUUCACUCGUGGACUGACGACUGGCGGGCAGUCCUGGACAGCAAACGGGCAGCGUGCAACCAGUUAAUUUAAAGCAAGAGCGGCCUGUGAUUGUACAUCAUCAGGCUGCCCUUGGUUCCACCCAAGGCACUCUGUGGCAUCCAGCUGGAAGCUGAAAACCACACAGAUACACCAGCCCCCGCUGAAGCAGUCCAUGAGAAGAGGUGCCCUGCCUCAACGCUGUGGGAGGGGAUGGUUGCUGCCACCUGGGUCCCUGUGAAUAGGACCGAACAACAAUUGGAUUUGAUAAGCUAAAAGCCACUGAGCCACGUGCAGCUGUUGUGGAAGGGGAAGGCCCUUGGAGGGACACUGAGCCCCUGUUUUUUGGUUAUUGGGUGUGCACCUCACACCUGCUUCUGUGAUAUCUGUGGUGUCUGCUGUGAGGUCCACUGUGUGGCUGACUGAGGCACCCACUGCUCAGCCUGUGACCUGGAGUCCCACGGACUUGCUUAGCUGUGCCAAUGAGCUGAAAUCCCCUCUGCCUACACUGCUGCUGGGGCCUGGGCCAGCAGCCAGCUCGGUCUAGCACUUACCCCAGGCCUGUCCUCCAGAAUGCGAGGGAACAGGUUUUCCCUCUUUCACCUCCCCACGAGACUGGCUUUUCACUCCUUGGCUUGCCUGCUGUCACCCCUCCAAGGAGACCAUCCCCAAGCAGCAUAUGGAGUGGAUGGUUUCUCUUCAGAGCUGUGAACGGGCGACUGGGGCUGCCUCCCAGGACCCUUGUUAUUAAAGAAGGUCCUUAGGGUUUGGGUGGUGACUCCCUGCCAGCCAAGACUCUGCCUAGCCCACCGAUAGAUGCCAAGGGAACGCCCUCCUCAGAGGGUUACUGUGCAGCCUUGCCAGCUCUCUGCCCUCCUAGAGGGGUAGAAACAUCUGGAAACAUGCAGCACAGAAGACUGACAAUGGCAGACAUCCAGGAAGGAUCAGCCUUCAAAGCUGGCAGGCUGUACGUAGACCCCAUGUUCUGGCUCAGCUGUGAUCUGUGCGGCAUCUGACAGCUACAUCCACGUCAGGGCCAGGGACCCAUAUGAUCAGACUGGAGGGAGACUGGCCUAGCAGUGAUAGGCCCAGGAUGACGGCUCUGGAGGAAAGGUAUAAACAGUGACAGCUUCAGGAUCUGGGGGACGGGGUGACCCUGAAACUUCAAUCCAUCUUACUGCAUUGCAUGGAAGUAGCCUGACCUCAGCAUGACCUGUUUUCCUGCACAGCCCGUCCUUAUUGCACAUGACAGUUAUGCCCAGCCUUCAAUUGCCCUGCAGUCUGGGUUGGUGAAAAACCAAGCUCCUACGACAGGCGGUGAUAUGACUCCAGGCACUGGGGACCUGCUGCAACCACUGCUGCUCCAGAGGCCUAAAACUGGUUUGGACAUGACCCCAGAAGCACCCUCGUAACAAAGGGGUCUACAGACAACCUGUACAUUUGCCAAUGGCCACCCUGGGGCUGAGGAAAGCAAUCAGAGCUCCGUCCUUGGUCAAGAUUACGCACAUCCUCAUUCAUGCUAGGGGGGGAAGCUAAUCUAUCCCAAGAUUGAUUUCCUCAGGAGACAGAGGUUCCCCAAGCCCUUCACUAGCUUGAAGUCACCUAUGGGCUACUGCUUCCCUUUCCUCCUGUGAAUUUUGAGGCUCUUCUUCCCACUCAGUGCCUGACAAGACACUGGCAGUUCUCGCAGUGUGCUCCAUUACUGGGAAACACCAGGACAGCUGUUAACUCCAGAUGGCAGCCCCUUGAGACGGCCCGGCCCAUUUUAUAAUGAUUGGCGUAUCUCUUGCAGAUGUUCUGCACAGAAGGGUUCAUCAUAGCCCACAGGCCAGCAGGAAAUGCCAGGGUGCGCAAAGGAGACAGGGGAGACAGAAAUGAGACACAGCCGGAGGAGGAGGGAACGUGCGUGAAGACAAUAUAAUCACACAGAGCAAUGAGCAGCUGUGAUGUAACAGCUGCCCUCCAUGCAGCGCAUCCCCUGCUUGGUGACAGAUUCCUGGAUCCAGAGCAACAUGCCCACGGCCGCUGGGAACAAUGCCCCGUGGCACUGAGUUCUCAAGAAGGGAAGCGAAAAGGGCACGGUGAGUCACUGCAAAAUAAGCAAGGAUGAAAGCCAGCUGUGAAGUUCUGACCAUCCUUGGGCAUAUAUCCCAGGGGCACUGGCUGACUCAGACGUAACCUCUUCCCCAUGCCCCGAGGAGGGGGAUUAGCAUGGUCCACCCUGUUACCGAGGAAUAUCAUUGUCUGAAUCCUCAACCGUCCAUGAAGUGCAAGGUCACCAUGAAUUGUUCUCCGUGACAUCCCCUCGGUCAGAUCUCUGCAACGAGAGGCUGUGCUCUCACCUCAUUGUCCUGAGUCAAAUGUGACCAUGGAGAGGGCCUGACCUUCACAUGGGGCCAUCCAGAAGGUCUCUGCCAUUCAUGUAAACUGGUGUGCAAGCCAUUGGAAGGGCAGCUUCAUCACCUGAUGCCAUUCAAAUGUCCACGAGGGGGAGCUGCGUGACCACAGGUAACAGCAUGGAGGCUGCUUUGGUCCCAGAAGAUGCCUGUGACACUCUCCAAGGGAUGGGGAAGCACUUUCUGCCAACACUCCCUAUGUCCUCAGAGGGGAGCUCCCAGCACAUGGCUCAUAAGAUCCCUCUGGGAACAAGGGGUGGGGCUGGGCAAAGGACACCCCCUUUUCUACAUCCAGCUUUGGAUGGGGAAGGGGUCUAGGCAAUCACAACCCCUCCCCCCAUGCCCACCCUGUAGAUGCUCAGCAACCACCAAACUAUGGAUGGAGACCCCAAUACUCUAGCCACAGUGAUAAGGCAUUUCCAAGGCUCCCAGCAAUAGACACUGCUGGUCCCAGCAUCCCUCCCAUCCUGCAAGAUCAUAAGUGCAAUAGUUGUAACUGGCAGUGCUUUGACCCUCUGUUACCCCUUCCCCAGGGAUCUUGGAGCACUUUGCAUUCCCUAACAAGCCUAAUCUGAAAGCAGGAUGAGCCAGAAGUUACAGCAACACGAUGCUAUGUUCCCUAUGGAUCCCAGAACCAGCCUGACAAGCACUGCUGGGACAACAGCCUGGCUUGAGAAUGCCUCCCAAGCCCUGUGCACUCAGGUGACUAUUGCUCCCUCUGUGACACCUCUCCUAGUCUCCCCCAGGAGGGGCUAAGAAGGACCCCAGCUUUAGCUCUAUUGCUCUAGCUCCAUGAUUCUCCAUCAGGGUGCUGCAGCAAUCCUAGGUGCUGUGAGAUCAUUUCAUGGGUGCUGUGGUACAGUGGGGUGUGCAAACACCUACACGUGAUUCACAAGAUAACCCAGAGAUACUAAAUAGGAAUCGAUGGUAUCAAAAAUGUUCUGACCUGGGGUCUUUCUGAGCUCUUUGCAACAGAAGAAUUGCUCUGUUAUUUCUCCAUAGUCAAAAAAGAAGGGAACGCUAAGAGCCGGCAUUUUCUAAGAGGUGCCUUGAGCCUAAAACGGUUGAGACCACUCCUCUAGACACUUUAGUCCAGUGGGACCCCACCACCUCUGUCCAUGGGCUGUUUAUGACAGUCAGUCCAUGCAGUCUGCACUCUGAGGGCAAAAGCUUUGAUAUUAUAGUCACCAUGGUAGCCAGGUGCUUCUGUUAUCGAUACUAAUACAUACAGGACGGUGCCCACGUUGCUUGCCAAGGGAGGUGUAAACACUAAGGCUCAGUCAGCUGUAACUGUUGAUACCAACCCCUGGUUGCUGACCCACUCGGAGAUCCCCAGAAACAGCCCAAAACAAAAACACCGAGCCAGCCAGUCUGCCAAGAAUUAAUGAGCCGUGCAUUCAGCUCAAAGGCCGCUGGGCUCAUGCUUUGGCAUUGCACCAAGGAAGGCAGGCUUGAAAGGUGGUGAAGGCCACUGAGGACACCAGGGCAAUGAGUUCAGCAGAGUGAAAAGCGUAAACACCAGCUCCAGGUGGGAUGGAGAUAGGUUUGGACCUGAGAAGAGAGGAAGUGAGAGGCUGGUGCCAAAGACAAACAGAGGCCAAAGCUGGUUUUCACAGAGACCAGUAGAAGGCCUUCCAUGGGUGCCAGCAGGCACUGGGUGCUGCCUCUGGAGGAGAUGCAUGGGCAAGGGGUUGCUUCCCAAGUUUCGCACUGAAUAGGUUACUGGAAGAACUUUGGAGAGUAUGUUGGUGCCGAUCCCCGUUAUAAGCAGGUGCUUGAUGGUUGACUGGUUGGUUGCAUAAAAGCCUCAAGGCAAGCUAUGAUUUUGAUUUGGGCAAGUGCUUUCCAAACACCUCCUCCCUGUCUCUGCUCUGAAGCACCUGCAGCUAGAGAAGGCAAGAGCACGCAGGAGGGGAAGGAUUGAUGGUCAAGGGAGCGAUGUAUUCUACUCCCCCCCUAAAAUCAACCUGCAAAUGACCCUGAGACCCAGACAUGGCCUGGCAUUUCCAUGACUCCCAGCAACAGCUGCUACUGGUCCCAGCAUCCCUCCCAGCCAACAAGAUCGGCCCGCUAGCUUUUCCUUGUCCACAGCAUUACAGACCUGGGUCUUGAGAAGGGCCUUGAACGAGGAGAGGGUGUUGGGGGUCAGUUCCCAAAGGGCUUUCUAUGUGGAAGGGGCCAUGUGGGAGAUGGUAUAAAGGCAGUUGUGAGAGGGGCUGGCCAAUGUGAGAGGUGCUGGGGUUGCUGAUGGAGCAGAGGUGGGAUCCAGCCAGGAGCAGACUUCAGAGGAGCCAUGCAAGCCGGACCAUCUGGUUAAGCUUCAGACAGUGGAAGAGAAAGAGCUGUAAGAGGGCCAGGGUCAGAGUGAUGUACGGCUGCAUCCUCAACAACUAGGAGGAAGGAGAGGUAUGAAAACCUGGGGGCUUGAGGGAGAUUUUUAAUAGCAUGCAGAAAAGAGGGGUGUCUUAGAGCUAUGUCACAUCAAGAUUGAUGAUUCCUCCUAAUCCUGACUGUCUUUAAGGUGUCUCUUGGGGCCCAGGCCUGACUAACACUUGCUGUUAGGGUCGGGCGAGGAAGGAGGUUGUGGGCCUGGCUGAUAGGAAAGGGUGGCCAGCACAGCCAUGCGCCCCCAGCUGCCGGGGGCAUGCACCGUUCAUGGGUGGUGCAAUGCAACAGGCAAGAGAGGAGGUGAGGGGCCAAAAAGCAGGGAAGGAGGUCAGGAGAUGGCUCUUAGUCAAAUGAAGUCAGAGCUGACAGCCAGUCGCUGGGGACAGGCAGAGAUGUGGGGCAGGUUGGAGAGAGACCAGCCAGGGUGGAAAGACAGGCUUUUGAAUCACCGAUGCACAGAGAGGGCAGCUGCAAUCGUGUCCGGGGCAGAAACUACCAGAGGGAGAUGAAGCCACUGAACGCCUGUCACCAGGCAGCUGACGCCUUCAGCAAUCAGCAGGGCAGCCCGAAUUUAGACGAGUCCUAGUAGCACCCCCAGGCCUCUCAGCCCCCCCGCUGCAGGAGGGUGGCCCUGGAACGCCUGCCUGCCCCAGGAGCCCAUGCAUCAGCCUCGGGGACCAGCCCGCAGGUGGGCUGCUACAGCAGAGUGCCCGUGCGAGGGUGUUGCUGCUGGGACAGGCAUGUGUGUGAAGAGGUGCGGACACUGAACCAGUUGCACCAGUCUCUUCAUGUGGCUGCUCCCAGCUCCCUCAUUUUCAGCUGGUCUUGUAGCCCUCAGGCCAAGAUGAAGAAUCAUUACCACAGGGUCCUUCUGCUCAGAUCAAAUACGUCGUAUCAGGUGAACCCCCUGCCUCACACAGGAUGGAUCCAUUGGCCCAUCUUGAAAUCACUGUGCUAUGACCCUACGUCUGGCCUACGUAAAAUCCCACUAUGGUUUUAGUGGGACGCAGGAUUUUCACUCUGCACCCAGCUGUUGCGUGGCAGUGAUGCAAGCUGGCUGUUCGUCGGGAGUGGGGGGUAAUUUGGAGGGCGCCAGUGAAGCCUGACAAGGGUUUUGAGAUCAUGAGGUGCAGGUGCUUGUCAUACAGAUGACAAAAGUUAUUAAUAUCCCAAAUGCCUUUCCCUGGGAAAGAAACUUGGAUAUUCCUGGGGGGAUAGUGGAGGGAAGGCAGACAGAGUCUGAUCCACUUAACAAGCUUCUUGGUAAUUUUCCCUGGAGGAAUGAAUUCGUCCUGUCGGCAGAAAAAAGCACUUCCUAAACACUCACCCUUCGUAUUUUUAGUGGAUUCCAGGAUUUCUCUCAGCCAGGAUGUGAACUCCUAGGAUAUUCCUCUGUGUCUACUUCCAUGAGUUCUCUGCUGGACUUUCUUCAGGCUUUUAUGCCAUGCCCAUCACUGUAAUAUCUGACUACCGAGCUGGCAGUAUCCCGGGUUUGCUUCUGGGCAGUAACUCAAUAGCCAGCUAUGAAUGCAUCCUUGGCCAUGACCCAUUGUCUCUGCCUCCCCUCUCAGUGGCUCUAAGAUCAGGGACAGAAGUUCAAUAAACAGAUUUAACCUAAAUCAGUUGAGUCUGAUACUACCUCCAUCCAGGUGUAUCUUAAGCCAGUUUCAGCCAUUUUGAAAGCAGUUUAUAGGCACCGAACGUCUGAUUUGAACUGGUUUCCGAUCACUUAUGCUGGUUUAUGUGUAAAGUCUGUGCCUAGCCUAAGAGACACAGGUAAGCAUGGGGGAUUCAUAACGAGCCCAGAGUAUCAUUGCCAUGCACAAGUCUGCUGCAAAAGACUGUUUUUUGAGUGGAAUGGAGCGGAGACGGUCACGUCCAAUUUACCGCUUAUACUCUGAUGCACGCUACUCUCCUGGGAGGCAGAGUUGGGGAGAUGAGGAGUUUGGGUCAUUUCUGGAAGCUCCCUAGCCUCCGCCUCUGCUGGACCAGCACAACGCACUGGCUUCCCUCAACAAGUUUAAUGAGAUUCAUUCUGUGUACAUAGUUCCUAAAUAGUUUAGCCCCAGGGGAAGAACGUGACUUUCCAGCCCUGAAUAUAGUACGGAGGAAAGGCUUAGUCAUGAUUUGCACUGGUCUACUUUUACAGUCUCCUCCAGAUUUCUGCACCCAUGGAUUCUGCCUUAGGUCCGUAGUGACACGCUAGUGAUUAUGUCUGUGAAGAGCCCCUGCCCCUGCCCUAUUUGUCUUCUACAUAUCAAUGCCCAUCAGUAGACCAGACGCUGGCCAAACAAGGGCUGCAGCUUUCUGGCCUGAAAGCCCAUCUACUCCUGCUGGUCAUCCCCCACCUGCAGCCCCCUGGUCCCACCCUUGUCCAGGCACAAACUCCCUCCUCCCUUCCUGUUUCACCAGAAGAAUCCCACCGCUCCCAAGGGAGCCUGUUUUCAGGAGAACACCAAGAUCAAUGUCCGGCAGUUUGGAAGCAGAUGAAGGAAGCCAAAUAUAUUUGAGUUUGACUGAUUUAUGACACUGUUUUCUGAGACAUUGGGGGUUAACAAUCCAGAAGAUGCUCUAUCCUGUUGACAGGGAGGAUGUUCCCCAGGAAGCAUGUAAGCACCAGCUGGUGGGCUGAGUGCCUCUUUGGAAAACCAGACCACAUGUAUCUCAAACUGAGUUCACUGAAACAGCUUUAUCCCAAGCCAGCAGCUAUUUGGGGUCAUAACUCCUUCCUGCCUGCUUCAAAGUUUCUGCAGGAACUUCUGGACAACCGGCUUUGGGGCCUGGGCUGCACCUAGCUGCUCUCUGCCUGACCCUGCUGACCCAGAUGGGUCGUGUAUCUGCCAGAUCGCCUGCUGACCGGUCGAGAUGCCUGGUGAAUAAAGAUUACCGCAAUGUCUAUUACUGAGAAACCAAGCGAGUGGACGCGGUCUGCCCCCAAACCACUUCAACUCCCUGCAAAAACACUCCACUGCCCUGCUGAAGUGCAAAGCAAACUCCAAGGACCUCAGGCCCUUCCAGUUAAUCAUUGCAGCCUCCAGCCUACUGGCAGCACCACAGUGACAGAGGUUGGGUCCUGGACAUUACCGCCAGCAGUAUCCUGGGUCAUCCUGCUGCCUGAUGGUAUUUGGAAGGAAUAAGCCAUGGGACAGCCCCCUUGAUGGUUCCUUGUAGACUCUCAACCUAAAGGACCAAUGCAGCCUUGGAGCAAGAAACUCAACUCCCAUUAACUUCAAAGGCAUUGUGCCCUCUUACUCCAGUGCAGUCAAUGGCAAUGUCUCAUUGACUCAGGGCAAUGUCUCAGGGCAAUGUCACUCGGUUCAGCUCAUCACACACGAGUCUCCAGGAGUCUGAUAGUGCCUGUUGGAGUCCCUGGCUCCCCUGCCCCGCUGGAAUCACCCAUCCAAUCAUCCAUGCUGGCAGGUGGAGAACUGCAUUGCUAGAAGAGCCAACUGCUGUUCUUGGGUGCUGUUUAUGCAGGUAAUGUAAAUACUGGGUAGCUCAGGACCAUCUUGGCCACUCUAUACACCUGGCGUGACAUGGGUCACCAAGGGUACCAGUCCACUGAAUAUGCAGGUUGUCGCUGCCAAUGCAGGGCAGUGAUUACCAGACAGUGCAUGGGGUGCCAGUCUGUUGGGCAUGACUGACAGCACAAGGUGGUUCUCAGAUGCCAAAAGGACCAGGUCCGACUACCAAAGCAGGGGACUCUACAAGGGCUAGUUGCACUGGGUAUAGGUACCUGCAUGGCAGGUGGCACACAGCUGACACUCUCCAAAACCCUUUGCGUAGCCAGCCACCUGAAUCACACCAGGCACAGCGCAAUGCUGCGCUCCUUGUCUCUUUACAAGUGACGUGUGUCUGGGAGCUGCAGUCAUCUCUUCUGCCUUUGAGUCAGAACGUGGCCUGUUAUUAGAGAGUAGAGCUGUUAUGAGAUAAAAUAAACCCAGUGGAAAGGCAUAGCUGCUGUAUUACUCAUCCAUUUAAAGCGUAGAAAGCAAACACUUCCAAGGAAGACCAAUCAUCUUUCCCAGCAGUUUUGCUGGCUCUGCUGGGGCAGAAAUCCUAAUGUAAUAACAACGUCUUGACUAUAAACAGCUCUGAUCACUGGAGGACCUCAAAGCACUUUGCUCGUACUCACGCAUGAAACCCACUGUAGAAGUUGGCUUGGGCAAACUCGAUCAGAUCCCUUGUCAUCAGGGCAGGUACCCAUGGGAUCACUAACCCAUUUCCUACGGGACCCAGGAGCUCUGCUGGUGGUCUGCCCUUCCAAGCACCGAGCCAGCCUGGCUGUGUUUAGCUCAGGAGCUGCUCAGGGUAUUGCCCAGCUGCUGGUCUUAACCAGCAUCAUGUUCUUCUGUCUCACACAAAUCUCCUCUUUGCUGUACUGCAGCACCAAGCGGUGUUGGAACCGUCCUGCACUGACUAGCCCUGGACUAUGUGAGACCUCUUGCAUCUCUGGGUUCUUGUGGAUCAAACCCUAGGGUCCCGUUUGCUUUUACUCGGGAGCCAAGCCAAGCUGUCCCCAGGAUCUGCCCUUGAUUCUGGGCUUGUUGGCUCUAGGAAGGAGUCUGUGCCUUUCUCUAUAGAUUUUGGAAACUCCCCUUGGGGUCAGUCUCUAUCCCAGCCCACUCCUGUUUGGGUGCCAUUGAUGUAUCUUCCGUUCCACGAUAUGGCAUCAUGUCCAGGUGCCCUGUAAUAAAGAGAGUGCCUCAUGGAUUU